GGACAGAAAGACCCUAUGAAGCCUUACUGUAACUUGAAAUUGAAAUUGGACUUUACUUGCGCAGAAUAGGUGGGAGGCGUUGAUUUUAUUCUUGCGGGAAUUUAGGAGCCAUCAGUGAGAUACCACUCUGGUAAUGUUAGAUUUCUAACUUGGUAUCAUAAUCUGGUCAAAGAACAGUUUCAGGCGGGCAGUUUGACUGGGGCGGUCGCCUCCCAAACGGCAACGGAGGCGUACAAAGGUUUCCUCUGAACGGGUAGAAAUCGUAUCUAGAGUGUAAAGGCAUAAGGAAGCUUGACUGUGAGACCUACAAGUCGAGCAGGGACGAAAGUCGGUCUUAGUGAUCUGACGGUGCUGAGUGGAAAGGCCGUCACUCAACGGAUAAAAGUUACUCUAGGGAUAACAGGCUGA
rnacentral:rRNA from 1 species